rnacentral:rRNA from 1 species
GACGAACGCUGGCGGCGUGCUUAACACAUGCAAGUCGAACGGAAAGGCCCUGCUUUUGUGGGGUGCUCGAGUGGCGAACGGGUGAGUAACACGUGAGUAACCUGCCCUUGACUUUGGGAUAACUUCAGGAAACUGGGGCUAAUACCGGAUAGGAGCUCCUGCUGCAUGGUGGGGGUUGGAAAGUUUCGGCGGUUGGGGAUGGACUCGCGGCUUAUCAGCUUGUUGGUGGGGUAGUGGCUUACCAAGGCUUUGACGGGUAGCCGGCCUGAGAGGGUGACCGGCCACAUUGGGACUGGGAUGCGGCCCGGACUCGUACGGGAGGCAGCGGUGGGGAAUAUUGCACAAGGGGCGGAAGCCUGAUGCGGCAACGCCGCGUGCGGGAUGACGGCCUUCGGGUUGUAAACCGCUUUCGCCUGUGACGAAGCGUGAGUGACGGUAAUGGGUAAAGAAGCACCGGCUAACUACGUG